rnacentral:misc_RNA from 1 species
GAUUUUAUUAUUAUAUGAUGUUAAAGUUAUAUAAGUAAUUUUUAUUUAAAUAGCAUAUAAUUAUCUCCAUUUCCCUCAAUUUUACUCCAAAUUAGAUUGAAAUGUUUUAGUUUAAUGAAGGGAAAUUGGGUAAUAUAAUCCCCUUCCUUUCUCCUCAUUUUUCUCUUCUAUUGUUAAUGUUUUGUAUUAUGAAUAAUACUCUAUGACCUCACUGGAUUCAGCUGGGAUUAGAAGGGUUGGAUAAUGAAGUGUGCACGUGUUGCUAAACUUGCAUUUUUCUUCAAUUUUUUUCUUAUUUUUCAUAGCUAUCGGUUAACUUUUCUUAUUAGAAUGAGUCUUUCCAUAGUUUAUAUCACGGCACCAAGUUGGUAUAUGCGUGAUAUGGGCCUAGAUUGGUUCAGUUUGACUUAUUGUUUUACAGUGUAUGGCUGGUAAAAAGAUUGUGGUAAUUAGCUAGAAAUGAGAAAUCCAUUGAAUUAUUCGUGCUAUCUUUCUGUGCAGGCAUUUGAGGAAGCCAUUGC